AUCCAGCGAACUUGGCAGAGAUGCCUUGGUGCCUUCGGGAACGCUGAGACAGGUGCUGCAUGGCUGUCGUCAGCUCGUGUUGUGAAAUGUUGGGUUAAGUCCCGCAACGAGCGCAACCCUUAUCCUUUGUUGCCAGCGAUUCGGUCGGGAACUCAAAGGAGACUGCCGGUGAUAAACCGGAGGAAGGUGGGGAUGACGUCAAGUCAUCAUGGCCCUUACGAGUAGGGCUACACACGUGCUACAAUGGCGCAUACAAAGAGAAGCGACCUCGCGAGAGCAAGCGGACCUCAUAAAGUGCGUCGUAGUCCGGAUCGGAGUCUGCAACUCGACUCCGUGAAGUCGGAAUCGCUAGUAAUCGUGGAUCAGAAUGCCACGGUGAAUACGUUCCCGGGCCUUGUACACACCGCCCGUCACACCAUGGGAGUGGGUUGCAAAAGAAGUGGGUAGCUUAACCUUCGGAAGGGCGCUUACCACUUUGUGAUUCAUGACUGGGGGUGAAGUCGUAACAAGGUAGGCGUAGCGAG
rnacentral:rRNA from 1 species